rnacentral:rRNA from 1 species
UGGCGGACGGGUGAGUAAUGUCUGGGAAACUGCCUGAUGGAGGGGGAUAACUACUGGAAACGGUAGCUAAUACCGCAUAACGUCGCAAGACCAAAGAGGGGGACCCUCGGGCCUCUUGCCAUCGGAUGUGCCCAGAUGGGAUUAGCUUGUUGGUGGGGUAACGGCUCACCAAGGCGACGAUCCCUAGCUGGUCUGAGAGGAUGACCAGCCACACUGGAACUGAGACACGGUCCAGACUCCUACGGGAGGCAGCAUG